GGUCACAUCUCCCAGGGAGUACACACCUCUGGCACUUCCAGGGAUUCCCAGGCCCUGGGAUACUGUGAUGGGACUUGGAACUCAAUCUCUUUCUUCCCAUCCUCACCUUUGGUUAUCUGUGUUCUGUCUUCACCAGAUUUAGGAGGCCUUGUCUUCUCUUUGCUCAUUUCAUUUCAGUCAGGCUUUUCUAUUCCAACUCUCUGAUCACAGGACAGAUCAGGUUAGACCACAGAAAAGAGAAAGACCAAGCAAACAUCACUGAUCUGUGCAGAAGCUGCUGGGAAGGGAUUCGAUUCUCAUUGGUUUAGGGUUUUAAGCCCACUGCUCACCGGCAGGCAGGUUCCCUCCAGAGUCUGGCUUCUGUCUGGUACCUUGUACUACAAAGAACUCAGUGACCAGCCCACCUUCACAGUCACACCUCCCUUAGAGCUAUCUUUGCAGAGGCUGUUUCUCAGACUUCCAUGUCCCACUGAAAUCCCAUUUCUCUUUCCUUACAAACAUUAUGCUCAUUCUCAGGGCCCUGAGACCUCAACUGCAGGUGAGUCUUGUCCUCUUCUCUCCUUGGCGGGGGGAGCUUUGGAGUGGACCUCAUGUCUUUGGACAGCUAUCCUGGGCCUUCUUCCACCUUGGUGCUCUAGGGCUGGAUCUCUCCAUGUAAUAGAGGGGGCGUGGAAGGGGCACAAGGCUAAAAGGAUGGAUCUUCCAGGAGAGGUGGGUUUAAGAAGCCUGAAUGAAGUUCUUCCCUGAAGGGUGCAUAUUUUCAGUCCAGACAUCCUGCUUCUCUCAGCCUAAGAGGCCUAGCACGUCUUCAGAUGCUUCUCCUUUGACCUUCAGGCCAUGCCUGGACCCUCUGCAGCCCGGUCUCCCACAUGUGUAGCAGCACCAGUAGGUGUGGCAGUCACUUCAGCCCUUGUCUCCUCCUCCAGAUGCUCCUGGAGGUGCCUGGCUCUUCUUGCCAGGACACCAGGAUGCUGACCAGGGACUCAGUGUUGGUUAAAGGAUGUCGACCAGUGACCACGUGUCCUCAUUUCCUUUGAAGGAUUUCGCUCCUUGCCCGGGCAGAAGACAGCCAAGGUCAGCCUGAGCCUAAACACCUAGUGACCUGUGACACUGCAGCUAGUGAUAGAUGUAGAUUUCCACGCUCAGGUAUCCGCAGGUGGCGGAUUGAGAGUGGUCGGAGGAGAAGUGUAACUAGAGAUCACACACUCACGAGGGCACGGGUCAAAGGUCUCGGAAAAUAGCUGAGGUCGUGGAGCCCUAGCGGAGCCAGUCUAGGGCACAGGCCUCCGUCCUGUGCUUGGCAAAUAGGUGGCACCAUCUGCAGAGUAUGCCGCCAUCCGCAGACUCUGGACUGCUGGGGCCCUGGACGCCCGGAUUUCGGCCUUGUCUUUGGAGAAGUGACGCGCAUGCAGUGUGCCACCGGGGGCUGUGGCCCAGCAGAAGCAAAAUCUUGAAAAUGCGGGCUUCAUUUGACUUUGCCUGUGUUCUCCUUUGGCUGAGUGCCAUCCUGUGUUUCCUAGCAGGAGAAGCAUUCCUGGAGAGAGGCGGAUUCCAUGUGUGCCGGCAAAGUGUGUGCUGAGAUGAUGAGUCGCUGGAGACCAGGGUGGACUCUUCAGACCCAGGAUAGGCCUCUGGCAGCAGGAGAAGCAUUCCUGGAGAGAGGCGGAUUCCAUGUGUGCCGGCAAAGUGUGUGCUGAGAUGAUGAGUCGCUGGAGACCAGGGUGGACUCUUCAGACCCAGGAUAGGCCUCUGGCAGGUAUGUGUCAAUGUUUUCUGCCCAUGGCACUCAGCCGGGUAUUUGAAUACAAUGUUAUCAGCGGAAUUAGUAGUCUCCGGAGAGGCUGCCCCGUGUCAACAAGCUUCACCCGGCCAGGGUUCACCCGUGAUGUAGCUCACCAAUCAAUCACUACUCCCUAGUCCUUCCAGAUAGACUACCAGAUCUUCUCUGCCCUUGGGCAACCAGUACAGCCAGAGGCCUUCCCCCUUUGCUCUUUCGUCUCUAGACACUCUGUCAGGCACUCCAAGCUGUGAAGUGCCUGGGGGGGAGAAGGAAGAGAUUUCAGAGAAUGAACACAUACGGAGAGAGAGAGAGAGACAGAGAGAGAGGCAGGAGAUGCUGAGUGGGGAUGUCUUGCGUACUGAUAUCCUGAGGAAAGUGGGAAAAUUGGACCCUGGCCUGCUGUGCCAAUGCCCUGAAGCAGUCCGCACCAGGGGCUCCCUUGUGCCUGCGUAGCCUUUCCCAGGGUGUGCUCAAAUCCUGUGGCCACUAGGUGUCCUGGGUCACAAUGGAGGGCCCUGUGUCAUCUGCCUGGCGGGCUGGAUCUCUGCCAUUGGCUGAGUCUUGUCACCAGGCCCAUCAUAAGCUGCGCCUACUCUUCCGGUGGGGAGACUGUCUCCAUGGUGAUGGCAAAGAAGCCUUAGUCCCGCCCACCCGGCCUUCACUUCACCUACCCGGCCUGCUGACCCUCACUCAGACCUCUGUGUUGAUCAAAAUGAAUGUCCGCCAGUGGCCAGGUGUCAGCAUCUGGGAUAAAGGAUUCGGGACCUUGCCUGAGGCAGAAGGCAGCCUAGGUCUGCGGGUCCCUGGAAGUCUGGUGAGUUGUGACGCUGCUGCCAGUGACAAAUGGUGACUCCCACACUCACAUAUCCCCUGGUGGCAGAAUGAUAGCGAUGGGUGGAGAAACAUGGCUCCUGAGCACACGUUGAAUGGGGCACCGGCCAAAGGCCAGGGCCAGGAGUGGACGUCGUGGAGCUGAAUGGCGAGCCAGUGAAGGGCCCAAGGAUUUCUCCUGUAUGUGGCAAACAGGUCAUCCGUGUCCCCACGUCCAUAAACCAUUGGAGUGCCGGGGCCCAGGCUGCCAGGAUUUCGGCCUUGCCUUCGGAGCCCGGCCACAUACGCAGCCUUGCACCGGAGGCGGGGACACGUAGACAGCAAAAAUUUGGAAAAUGGCAGUGUCUCCUUGAUUUCCCCGGCAUCGGCCUAUUUGAGCGGCAUGCUUUGUUUCCGAGUAGGAUAAGGCACUGACGGAGAAAGGCAGGAUUAUGUGUGCAGGAAAGGUGUGUGCUGAGAGGGUGACGACGUUGAGACCAGGUUGGGAUCUUUAGUCCCAGGAAAGGCCCCUGGCAGGUGUGGGUGAAUGUUCUCUGCCCAUCCGAGUUGGCGGGGGGAGGUUUUCAGCAAACAAAGCAGCAGCGGGAUUAUUCGUCGCCGGAGAGGUUGCAUCUGCCCACAAGCUCCACCUGGCCAGGGACCACCCCUACUGUAUUGCCCAUGUCAAUCAACAGAAGCUAAGACCUUCCAGAGAGACUACCUGCUAUUGUCUACCCACGGGGAAGCGGUCCAGCCAGAAGCCUCCCCCGUUUCAUCUCCAGGCUCUCUGUCAGGCCCCUCAUCCUUGUGAUGUGUCUCAGGGGUAGAAGGAAGAGAUUCCUCUGAAUGAACACAUCCAGAGAGGGGCCAUAGAUGCUGAGGAAGGGCACCUUGCCUACUGACAUCCUAGCGUAAGUGGUAAAGAGGUACCUGCCUGCUGUCCCAGUGUGUCGAACGUGUCCACAUCAGGGAUUGGCUACUGUGAAGUUAUUCCCUGGUGCCCUCGAUUUUGUGGCCAAAGACACAAGGGCCUGUUGUGUGUCCAUGGGUACCAUGGAGGGCUCUGCAGAACUGGCCGGUUAGGCUGGACUUCUCCUAUUGGCUCAGUGUUUGUGACCCGUCCCCGUCAGAAGUUCCGGCCAGCCUUCCGGUGGCUGUCUCCAUGGUGAUUGGGGAAGAAGCCUUAGGCCCCGCACUCAGCCUUCACCUGGCCUACGUGGCCUCUUUACCCUCAUCUGGACCGCCGUGUGGAUGAAAGAAAGGAUGUCGGCCAGUGAGCACGUGUCCUCAUUUCCUUUGAAGGAUUUCGCUCCUUGCCCGGGCAGAAGACAGCCAAGGUCAGCCUGAGCCUAAACACCUAGUGACCUGUGACACUGCAGCUAGUGAUAGAUGUAGAUUUCCACGCUCAGGUAUCCGCAGGUGGCGGAUUGAGAGUGGUCGGAGGAGAAGUGUAACUAGAGAUCACACACUCACGAGGGCACGGGUCAAAGGUCUUGGAAAAUAGCUGAGGUCGUGGAGCCCUAGCGGAGCCAGUCUAGGGCACAGGCCUCCGUCCUGUGCUUGGCAAAUAGGUGGCACCAUCUGCAGAGUAUGCCGCCAUCCGCAGACUCUGGACUGCUGGGGCCCUGGACGCCCGGAUUUCGGCCUUGUCUUUGGAGAAGUGACGCGCAUGCAGUGUGCCACCGGGGGCUGUGGCCCAGCAGAAGCAAAAUCUUGAAAAUGCGGGCUUCAUUUGACUUUGCCUGUGUUCUCCUUUGGCUGAGUGCCAUCCUGUGUUUCCUAGCAGGAGAAGCAUUCCUGGAGAGAGGCGGAUUCCAUGUGUGCCGGCAAAGUGUGUGCUGAGAUGAUGAGUCGCUGGAGACCAGGGUGGACUCUUCAGACCCAGGAUAGGCCUCUGGCAGCAGGAGAAGCAUUCCUGGAGAGAGGCGGAUUCCAUGUGUGCCGGCAAAGUGUGUGCUGAGAUGAUGAGUCGCUGGAGACCAGGGUGGACUCUUCAGACCCAGGAUAGGCCUCUGGCAGGUAUGUGUCAAUGUUUUCUGCCCAUGGCACUCAGCCGGGUAUUUGAAUACAAUGUUAUCAGCGGAAUUAGUAGUCUCCGGAGAGGCUGCCCCGUGUCAACAAGCUUCACCCGGCCAGGGUUCACCCGUGAUGUAGCUCACCAAUCAAUCACUACUCCCUAGUCCUUCCAGAUAGACUACCAGAUCUUCUCUGCCCUUGGGCAACCAGUACAGCCAGAGGCCUUCCCCCUUUGCUCUUUCGUCUCUAGACACUCUGUCAGGCACUCCAAGCUGUGAAGCGCCUGGGGGGGAGAAGGAAGAGAUUUCAGAGAAUGAACACAUACGGAGAGAGAGAGAGAGACAGAGAGAGAGGCAGGAGAUGCUGAGUGGGGAUGUCUUGCGUACUGAUAUCCUGAGGAAAGUGGGAAAAUUGGACCCUGGCCUGCUGUGCCAAUGCCCUGAAGCAGUCCGCACCAGGGGCUCCCUUGUGCCUGCGUAGCCUUUCCCAGGGUGUGCUCAAAUCCUGUGGCCACUAGGUGUCCUGGGUCACAAUGGAGGGCCCUGUGUCAUCUGCCUGGCGGGCUGGAUCUCUGCCAUUGGCUGAGUCUUGUCACCAGGCCCAUCAUAAGCUGCGCCUACUCUUCCGGUGGGGAGACUGUCUCCAUGGUGAUGGCAAAGAAGCCUUAGUCCCGCCCACCUGGCCUUCACUUCACCUACCCGGCCUGCUGACCCUCACUCAGACCUCUGUGUUGAUCAAAAUGAAUGUCCGCCAGUGGCCAGGUGUCAGCAUCUGGGAUAAAGGAUUCGGGACCUUGCCUGAGGCAGAAGGCAGCCUAGGUCUGCGGGUCCCUGGAAGUCUAGUGAGUUGUGACGCUGCUGCCAGUGACAAAUGGUGACUCCCACACUCACAUAUCCCCUGGUGGCAGAAUGAUAGCGAUGGGUGGAGAAACAUGGCUCCUGAGCACACGUUGAAUGGGGCACCGGCCAAAGGCCAGGGCCAGGAGUGGACGUUGUGGAGCUGAAUGUCGAGCCAGUGAAGGGCCCAAGGAUUUCUCCUGUAUGUGGCAAACAGGUCAUCCGUGUCGCCACGUCCAUAAACCAUUGGAGUGCCGGGGCCCAGGCUGCCAGG